rnacentral:rRNA from 1 species
ACGCUGGCGGCAGGCCUAACACAUGCAAGUCGAGCGGUAGAGAGAAGCUUGCUUCUCUUGAGAGCGGCGGACGGGUGAGUAAUGCCUAGGAAUCUGCCUGGUAGUGGGGGAUAACGUUCGGAAACGGACGCUAAUACCGCAUACGUCCUACGGGAGAAAGCAGGGGACCUUCGGGCCUUGCGCUAUCAGAUGAGCCUAGGUCGGAUUAGCUAGUUGGUGAGGUAAUGGCUCACCAAGGCGACGAUCCGUAACUGGUCUGAGAGGAUGAUCAGUCACACUGGAACUGAGACACGGUCCAGACUCCUACGGGAGGCAGCAGUGGGGAAUAUUGGACAAUGGGCGAAAGCCUGAUCCAGCCAUGCCGCGUGUGUGAAGAAGGUCUUCGGACUGUAAAGCACUUUAAGUUGGGAGGAAGGGUUGUAGAUUAAUACUCUGCAAUUUUGACGCUACCGACAGAAUAAGCACCGGCUAACUCUGUGCCAGCAGCCGCGGUAAUACAGAGGGUGCAAGCGUUAAUCGGAAUUACUGGGCGUAAAGCGCGCGUAGGUGGUUUGUUAAGUUGGAUGUGAAAUCCCCGGGCUCAACCUGGGAACUGCAUUCAAAACUGACUGACUAGAGUAUGGUAGAGGGUGGUGGAAUUUCCUGUGUAGCGGUGAAAUGCGUAGAUAUAGGAAGGAACACCAGUGGCGAAGGCGACCACCUGGACUGAUACUGACACUGAGGUGCGAAAGCGUGGGGAGCAAAC